CUCGUAGGCGGGAUGACAAGUCCGGCGUGAAAUCUCUCGGCUCAACCGAGAAACUGCGUUGGAAACUGUCGUUCUUGAGUUGCAGAGAGGAAGAUGGAAUUCCUGGUGUAGCGGUGGAAUGCGUAGAUAUCAGGAAGAACACCCAUAGCGAAGGCAAUCUUCUGGCUGCCAACUGACGCUGAGGAGCGAAAGCGUGGGGAGCGAACAGGAUUAGAUACCCUGGUAGUCC
rnacentral:rRNA from 1 species